CGGUGCAGCCCCAUUAAGAAACGAUCGACGCACGCGGUCACAUGUUAGCGCGCGCUUAAUACAUGCGUACUUGCCGUGUAUUCCAUUCCGUACGAUUCGUUAACGCGAGGCGUUCGUUACCUCAUCGGUGUCCUCGUGACGAACGAUUAUACGAGUAUCGAACGCCGUAUCGACGACGCAACGUGUUUGGCGGCCAGUGGGGCGGCACGAAGUAGAAAAAGGAAGAGGAGGAGAGAGAAAGGCAGGAACGCGAGAAGAAAAUAUCGUGGCGACGGAUUGGAGUGCGCUUAACGAGCGAGUAACUCUCCUUCCUCGCGAUCAUGGAUAAGGACGACUACGAGAGCCUGCCGACCAAUUCGGUGGCCGUGCACAUGACAGCCGGUGCCGUGGCCGGGAUCAUGGAGCAUUGCAUCAUGUACCCGUUUGACAGCGUCAAGACAAGAAUGCAGGCGUUAAUUCCCGGUCCAGGAGGAGGAACAAAAGUAGGGCAAGUAUUGUACAAAAUGAUGAAACAAGAAGGUAUAUUCAGGCCAAUUAGAGGUGUGAGUGCAGUAGUUGCCGGAGCUGGACCUGCACAUGCUUUAUAUUUUUCUUGUUAUGAGUGUCUUAAAGAAAAAUUCAAGAGUACGAGGUCCCAAUUUAAUCAUCUUGUCUAUGGUGCAGCUGGUUGCGUAGCAACAAUUUUACAUGAUGGUGUCAUGAAUCCAGCAGAAGUUGUAAAACAGCGACUACAGAUGUAUAAGUCUCCCUAUAGAGAUGUAUGGAGUUGUGUACAGCAUGUGUAUCAGAAAGAAGGGAUAUUUGCAUUCUACAGAAGUUACACAACUCAAUUGGCUAUGAAUGUGCCUUUUCAAAGUAUUCAUUUUAUUUCAUAUGAAUUUGUACAAUCCAUUACAAAUCCGGAUCAUGGUUACAAUCCAGUAGCACACAUAGCAUCUGGUGCGGCAGCAGGUGCGAUCGCGGCUGCAGCGACAACUCCUCUAGACGUUUGCAAGACAGUGUUGAAUACUCAGCAAGACGGCGUACAUGCUCAGGGUAUGAUGGAUGCAUUUAGACAAGUCUACAGGCAUGGCGGUAUAAAAGGAUACUUUCGUGGAUUACGCGCACGUGUUUUAUUCCAAGCACCAGCUACUGCCAUUUGUUGGGUGAUAUACGAAUCAUUCAAAUACGUGUUACAUAACAAGCAAAAUGACGAGUACAGUGAUUCCGAGACCGACAGUGGUAUGACUGGAAUUAAUCAAAAUCCGACAUCGAGAUCCAACAGCUUUCAAGGAACAGGCGCAACGCAAGCCCUUACCCCUUUGGAGGCCACCUCGAUCUGAUGAUUCUAUCAAUAUAGAUACCAUGAAACCGAUAGAUCCUGAUAUAAGAAACUUGCUUUAUCAGAAAGGAGUAUCAACUUUUAUUACUACUGAUAAUUAUUUGAUUGAAAGAUAUAAAGAACCUCCGGAGAAGCGUUUCUAUUUCCCCGAUUGUGUGAAUUGGAUAUAUGGAUGGCGUCUUGAUGAUUAUCCUUCUGUCCCACUUAGUAAAGUAGGCUUGAGAUCUAUUAUGUUGACACAAUUUUAUCAACGCAAAACAUUUAAUCUACAUCGAAAUCCAGGAUGGCAUCGCGGUU
rnacentral:misc_RNA from 1 species